GCAAGUCGAACGAGAAAGCUCUUCGGAGUGAGUACAGUGGCGCACGGGUGAGUAACGCGUAGGUGAUCUGCCUUUUAGUGGGGGACAACAUCGGGAAACCGGUGCUAAUACCGCAUGUGAUAAGUGAAAUUGAAAAAACUUAUGAAAGGGGGCUUCGGCUCUCGCUAGAAGAGGAGCCUGCGUGACAUUAGUUUGAUGGUGGGGUAACGGCCUACCAUGGCGAUGAUGUCUAACUGGUCUGAGAGGAUGAUC
rnacentral:rRNA from 1 species